CUGCUGCCUUCCGUAGGAGUCUGGUCCGUGUCUCAGUACCAGUGUGGGGGACCUUCCUCUCAGAACCCCUACGCAUCGUCGCCUCGGUGGGCCGUUACCCCGCCGACUAGCUAAUGCGCCGCAUGGCCAUCCGUAGCCGAUAAAUCUUUAAACAUCGGGAGAUGCCUCCCAACGUUGUUACGCGGUAUUAGACGGAAUUUCUUCCGCUUAUCCCCCUGCUGCGGGCAGGUUCCAUACGUGUUACUCACCCGUGCGCCGGUCGCCGG
rnacentral:rRNA from 1 species